UUGAACGCUGGCGGCAUGCCUUACACAUGCAAGUCGAACGGCAGCACGGGUGCUUGCACCUGGUGGCGAGUGGCGAACGGGUGAGUAAUACAUCGGAACAUGUCCUGUAGUGGGGGAUAGCCCGGCGAAAGCCGGAUUAAUACCGCAUACGAUCUACGGAUGAAAGCGGGGGACCUUCGGGCCUCGCGCUAUAGGGUUGGCCGAUGGCUGAUUAGCUAGUUGGUGGGGUAAAGGCCUACCAAGGCGACGAUCAGUAGCUGGUCUGAGAGGACGACCAGCCACACUGGGACUGAGACACGGCCCAGACUCCUACGGGAGGCAGCAGUGGGGAAUUUUGGACAAUAGGCGAAAGCCUGAUCCAGCAAUGCCGCGUGUGUGAAGAAGGCCUUCGGGUUGUAAAGCACUUUUGUCCGGAAAGAAAUCCUUGGCCCUAAUACGGUCGGGGGAUGACGGUACCGGAAGAAUAAGCACCGGCUAACUACGUG
rnacentral:rRNA from 1 species